rnacentral:tRNA from 11 species
GCGGGAAUAGCUCAGUUGGUAGAGUACGACCUUGCCAAGGUCGGGGUCGCGAGUUCGAGUCUCGUUUCCCGCUCCA